GAUGAACGCUGGCGGCGUGCCUAAUACAUGCAAGUCGAGCGAACAGACGAGGAGCUUGCUCCUCUGACGUUAGCGGCGGACGGGUGAGUAACACGUGUAUAACCUACCUAUAAGACUGGGAUAACUUCGGGAAACCGGAGCUAAUACCGGAUAAUAUAUUGAACCGCAUGGUUCAAUAGUGAAAGACGGUUUUGCUGUCACUUAUAGAUGGAUCCGCGCCGUAUUAGAUAGUUGGUAAGGUAACGGCUUACCAAGGCAACGAUGCGUAGCCGACCUGAGAGGGUGAUCGGCCACACUGGAACUGAGACACGGUCCAGACGCCUACGGGAGGCAGCAGUAGCGAAUCUUACGCAAUGGGCGAAAGCUUGACGGAGCAACGCCGCGUGAGAGAUGAAGGUCUUCGGAUCGUAAAACUCUGUUAUUAGGGAAGAACAACUGUGUAAGUAACUAUGCACGUCUUGACGGUACCUAAUCAGAAAGCCACGGCUAACUACGUG
rnacentral:rRNA from 1 species